UCAUUGUAUUAUUCUGCUUUUGGAAUGUACAAGACAGUACUAUAUAUACUAUUAAGUAACAAACCACCAAAGUUAACUAAACUGAAUUAUUUGCAUCAUGUAAUAAUUUUAGUUGAAAGAUUGGUUACACAUAAUUCUCUGUUUUUGAAAUAUAAAUAUUUUUUUUUUAGAUUUGAGAGCUCCUCCUGUACAUUUUUGUGCUACAAAUUCCUUUAUGAACACAAGUUUCCAAACCUCCCAAGCUCAUAUAUUCAUCUCAACAUUAUCAGAAACAAUCGGAACGCUAGACCACAAAGUCCUUGA